rnacentral:rRNA from 1 species
ACAUGCCUACAAAAUAGCAUUAAUCCAACAGAUCCCAUUAGAACUCCAUAGUUAAGUGUGCUUGAGCUAGAUUAGUACCAGGAUGGGUGACCUUCCAAGAUGUCCUAGUGUUUUACAUGCC